rnacentral:sRNA from 1 species
CAUUAGCCCCGAUAGCAGUGGAAAUCCUUUUGUGCCGGGGUUCGGCGCAAAAGAUUGUAACGGAUAGCGGGAAAAAGC